rnacentral:lncRNA from 1 species
GAUAAGAGGCCGCUUGAUGUUGUACUGGAACCUCCAGAACUGUGGGCCAAAAUAAUCCUUUUUUCUCUAUAAGUGAACUGCCUCAGUUGUUUCACUAUACUAAAGGGAAAUUGACACAGCAUGGCAAACAUAUGUAGGAACCUAAGGGUAAGUUUUCCUCAAGAACAGAAGAGCUGUCUUCCACACACCAUUUUGUUUUCUCCUUGCUGGGAGGAGAGCUGGAGAAAGCAGAGCAAUCAGAAUCACCAGUGUUGUUUACAGCAUUGAACAGGGAUUUAGAAAAUUAGAAGACAAAAGUGAAAUGGAGGGGAUCAAAAGAAAAAUCAGAGUUAUGCCACCUGGAGUUCAGAGAAGUGAGAUUACUUACCUAAAUCAACAUUUUAUCUGAAAAUGGGAAUGGAGGUGAAAGAAAUUUUUAUCCCAAAGGUGGAAGGAAGAAGUUGAAACCCCAUCAGCCAGACUGACAACUUGAGAGAGAAACUACUGAGAUCAAAACAGCACUUGAAUAGUUAUGUUGAAUGGGGGUGACUCUGAAAUUCCCUGUGAUUUUUGAAUCAGAAGCAUCAGAAAUAAUACAAAUAGAGGAACAUUUUCUGCUUUAAGAUAACUCAGUGGUAAGAGGGAUGCCAACAGAUAAGCCAGUUAUAUCUAGAAUUAUAAACCAUCAUUUUGUAAUACACGAAGGUUCCUCAUGUGGUGUUAAAUACAAAUUUGGGGAUAAAUGAGCACGUGUUGAUACAGUUACUAAGUUCUCUUGGUGUCCACAUAAUCAUGAAGGUGAUAAGCAUGACUUUAUAUUUCAGAGUCCAUUUUUAAUUACCUCCUUUGCCAUUGGUGACCUCUUUCCUGCUUAGAUAUAUGCUUAGCCUCCCACCUUCUGUUUUCCCCAUCCUUUCCACCACAACCUAUUCAGUGAACAAUGUGUUACUCUUUUCUUCGGGUAUGUUUACAAUGCCAUUUGCUGCACGGUUAUCUCAGUGAAGUGAACAAUUUUCUCCCCACGGGAGUAGCAAGGGAAGAGCUCUUGCACUGAGUCACCCUGGCCUAGGUUAGAAGAGGGAUUAGUAUUUGUGAGGAGUCUAAAAAUUGUAAAGCAAACUGAAGACCAAUCACAUGUAGGCAAUUUUAAGCAGGAUCAGUG